rnacentral:sRNA from 1 species
CACAGACAGAACAAAACAUGACCAAUGGCAGUUUAGCAUAUUCUGGACAUCUUUGCAAUUUUAGCAAUAUAUUCUAAUGGCAAAAUAAAGCACUUUAUAGUUUCACUAAAAUGAGUGAAACAUAAAUGUCCCCAUGCCUUUUGGCAGCAUCCUAUGCCAUCUCUUUUUCCAAUACAUCCCCCUACCCCACUAAUUUGGUCUUUGGUGCAUGUCUGUUUCUUUCAAGGAAUUUUGCUCCAUACAUAAACUGCUUUGGAUAGAUUACACUCUUUUUAAUUUUAUUAAAUCACUUUUGUUUCCAGCUUUUACUUGGCAGAAAUCUCCAUGGCUUUGGGGCAUUUACAUCAAAAGGGGAUCAUCUACAGAGACCUGAAGCCGGAGAAUAUCAUGCUUAAUCACCAAGGUCAUGUGAAACUAACAGACUUUGGACUAUGCAAAGAAUCUAUUCAUGAUGGAACAGUCACACACACAUUUUGUGGAACAAUAGAAUACAUGGCCCCUGAAAUCUUGAUGAGAAGUGGCCACAAUCGUGCUGUGGAUUGGUGGAGUUUGGGAGCAUUAAUGUAUGACAUGCUGACUGGAG